UACGUAGGGUGCAAGCGUUUGUCCGGAAUUAUUGGGCGUAAAGGGCUCGUAGGCGGUCCAUCGCGUCGGGAGUGAAAAGCUGGGGCUUAACCCCAGUCCUGCUUCCGAUACGGGUGGACUAGAGGUAGGCAGGGGAGAACGGAAUUCCUGGUGUAGCGGUGGAAUGCGCAGAUAUUAGGAAGAACACCAGUGGCGAAGGCGGCUCACUGGUCCGGUACUGACGCUGAGGUGCGAAAGCGUGGGGAGCAAACAGG
rnacentral:rRNA from 1 species